GGAGAGGUGGCAGAGUGGUCGAAUGUACCUGACUCGAAAUCAGGCGUACUCAUACGGGUACCGUGGGUUCGAAUCCCACCCUCUCCGCCA
rnacentral:tRNA from 1 species